rnacentral:rRNA from 1 species
GGCGGGACACGUGGUAUCCUGUCUGAAUAUGGGGGGACCAUCCUCCAAGGCUAAAUACUCCUGACUGACCGAUAGUGAACCAGUACCGUGAGGGAAAGGCGAAAAGAACCCCGGCGAGGGGAGUGAAAAAGAACCUGAAACCGUGUACGUACAAGCAGUGGGAGCACCUUCGGGUGUGACUGCGUACCUUUUGUAUAAUGGGUCAGCGACUUAUAUUCUGUAGCAAGGUUAACCGUAUAGGGGAGCCGCAGGGAAACCGAGUCUUAACUGGGCGUUAAGUUGCAGGGUAUAGACCCGAAACCCGGUGAUCUAGCCAUGGGCAGGUUGAAGGUUGGGUAACACUAACUGGAGGACCGAACCGACUAAUGUUGAAAAAUUAGCGGAUGACUUGUGGCUGGGGGUGAAAGGCCAAUCAAACCGGGAGAUAGCUGGUUCUCCCCGAAAGCUAUUUAGGUAGCGCCUCGUGAAUUCAUCUUCGGGGGUAGAGCACUGUUUCGGCUAGGGGGUCAUCCCGACUUACCAACCCGAUGCAAACUACGAAUACCGAAGAAUGUUAUCACGGGAGACACACGGCGGGUGCUAACGUCCGUCGUGAAGAGGGAAACAACCCAGACCGCCAGCUAAGGUCCCAAAGUCAUGGUUAAGUGGGAAACGAUGUGGGAAGGCACAGACAGCCAGGAUGUUGGCUUAGAAGCAGCCAUCAUUUAAAGAAAGCGUAAUAGCUCACUGGUCGAGUCGGCCUGCGCGGAAGAUGUAACGGGGCUAAACCAUGCACCGAAGCUGCGGCAGCGACACUAUGUGUUGUUGGGUAGGGGAGCGUUCUGUAAGCCUGCGAAGGUGUGCUGUGAGGCAUGCUGGAGGUAUCAGAAGUGCGAAUGCUGACAUAAGUAACGAUAAAGCGGGUGAAAAGCCCGCUCGCCGGAAGACCAAGGGUUCCUGUCCAACGUUAAUCGGGGCAGGGUGAGUCGACCCCUAAGGCGAGGCCGAAAGGCGUAGUCGAUGGGAAACAGGUUAAUAUUCCUGUACUUGGUGUUACUGCGAAGGGGGGACGGAGAAGGCUAUGUUAGCCGGGCGACGGUUGUCCCGGUUUAAGCAUGUAGGCUGGUUAUCCAGGCAAAUCCGGAUAAUCAAGGCUGAGGUGUGAUGACGAGGCACUACGGUGCUGAAGUAACAAAUGCCCUGCUUCCAGGAAAAGCCUCUAAGCAUCAGGUAACAUCAAAUCGUACCCCAAACCGACACAGGUGGUCAGGUAGAGAAUACCAAGGCGCUUGAGAGAACUCGGGUGAAGGAACUAGGCAAAAUGGUGCCGUAACUUCGGGAGAAGGCACGCUGGUGUGUAGGUGAAGUCCCUGCGGAUGGAGCUGAGACCAGUCGAAGAUACCAGCUGGCUGCAACUGUUUAUUAAAAACACAGCACUGUGCAAACACGAAAGUGGACGUAUACGGUGUGACGCCUGCCCGGUGCCGGAAGGUUAAUUGAUGGGGUUAUCCGUAAGGAGAAGCUCUUGAUCGAAGCCCCGGUAAACGGCGGCCGUAACUAUAACGGUCCUAAGGUAGCGAAAUUCCUUGUCGGGUAAGUUCCGACCUGCACGAAUGGCGUAAUGAUGGCCAGGCUGUCUCCACCCGAGACUCAGUGAAAUUGAACUCGCUGUGAAGAUGCAGUGUACCCGCGGCAAGACGGAAAGACCCCGUGAACCUUUACUAUAGCUUGACACUGAACAUUGAGCCUUGAUGUGUAGGAUAGGUGGGAGGCUUUGAAGCGUGGACGCCAGUCUGCGUGGAGCCAACCUUGAAAUACCACCCUUUAAUGUUUGAUGUUCUAACGUUGGCCCCUUACCGGGGUUGCGGACAGUGUCUGGUGGGUAGUUUGACUGGGGCGGUCUCCUCCCAAAGCGUAACGGAGGAGCACGAAGGUUAGCUAAUCCUGGUCGGACAUCAGGAGGUUAGUGCAAUGGCAUAAGCUAGCUUGACUGCGAGCGUGACGGCGCGAGCAGGUGCGAAAGCAGGUCAUAGUGAUCCGGUGGUUCUGAAUGGAAGGGCCAUCGCUCAACGGAUAAAAGGUACUCCGGGGAUAACAGGCUGAUACCGCCCAAGAGUUCAUAUCGACGGCGGUGUUUGGCACCUCGAUGUCGGCUCAUCACAUCCUGGGGCUGAAGUAGGUCCCAAGGGUAUGGCUGUUCGCCAUUUAAAGUGGUACGCGAGCUGGGUUUAGAACGUCGUGAGACAGUUCGGUCCCUAUCUGCCGUGGGCGCUGGAGAAUUGAGGGGGGCUGCUCCUAGUACGAGAGGACCGGAGUGGACGCAUCACUGGUGUUCGGGUUGUCAUGCCAAUGGCACUGCCCGGUAGCUAAAUGCGGAAGAGAUAAGUGCUGAAAGCAUCUAAGCACGAAACUUGCCCCGAGAUGAGUUCUCCCUGAGACUUUAAGUCUCCUGAAGGAACGUUGAAGACGACGACGUUGAUAGGCCGGGUGUGUAAGCGCAGCGAUGCGUUGAGCUAACCGGUACUAAUGAACCGUGAGGCUUAACCUU